rnacentral:rRNA from 1 species
AGGAUGAACGCUAGCGGCAGGCUUAAUACAUGCAAGUCGAGGGGUAACAUGGGUAGCAAUACCUGAUGACGACCGGCAAACGGGUGCGGAACACGUACGCAACCUUCCCAAAACUGGUGAAUAGCCCUCCGAAAGGAGGAUUAAUACACCGUAACAUAAUGAAAAAGUGGCAUCACUUUAUUAUUAUAGCUCAGGCGGUUUUGGAUGGGCGUGCGCCUGAUUAGGUAGUUGGCGGGGUAACGGCCCACCGAAGCCUGCGAUCAGUAACUGGUGUGAGAGCACGACCAGUACCACACGGGCACUGAGACACGGGCCCACUCCGUACGGGAGCAGCAAGUAAGGAAUAUUGGUACAAGUGGACGCAAGUCUACGAACC